rnacentral:rRNA from 1 species
CAGCAGCAGCCGCGGGAAUACGGAGGGUGCAAGCGUUAAUCGGAAUUACUGGGCGUAAAGCGCACGCAGGCGGUCUGACAAGUCAGAUGUGAAAUCCCCGGGCUUAACCUGGGAACUGCAUUUGAAACUGUCAGGCUGGAGUCUUGUAGAGGGGGGUAGAAUUCCAGGUGUAGCGGUGAAAUGCGUAGAGAUCUGGAGGAAUACCGGUGGCGAAGGCGGCCCCCUGGACAAAGACUGACGCUCAGGUGCGAAAGCGUGGGGAGCAAACAGGAUUAGAUACCCCAGUAGUCCCUGUCUCUUAUAA